GUGUAAUUUUGCACCGGCUCCGGGAGUCGGAUAAGCACCAGGUUUUCUAGUUAAGUGGACCACAAAAUUCGGGGAAGCCUAUAUAAGGCUUUUCGAGGAAGAAGGCGAUCAGUCGAGCCACGGAGCUCACCGUCGCAACAUCGUCCUCGAACGUAUCGGAUCUUUCACCUUAUUUUUCUCUGUUCAAUUCUUUAUUCAUCUAUUUCUUUUUCUUCUUCUUCUUCUUCUUCUUCUUCUUCUACUUAUUCUUUUCUUUUUUUUGAAUCAUACUUCUCUAUUUUGGUGAAAGUAUUAGUUCGACGAAUAUUUUCUUAUAUAAUUCUUACACAUUUUUACUCUAUUUAUUAUAUUUUUAUUACUUAUAUCAGGGUGAAUCUUAUUCUUAUAGAUUAGUUAGUAUAGUCUCUUUUUUUCUAUGAAUUUAGAUUUAUUCAAUACGUUCAAUAUAUUUACGUAUGCAUAUCGUUUCCAUCGUCGAAAUAUUAUUGGACAAAUUUGCAUUUCGAUGAAAACAUGUUGCAUAUAUGUUCAUAUAGUACUAAAGUAAAUAUGAAAUUCAUUACUUUGAGCAAUAUUUCUGAACGAACGAUCGGGAACAUCGAAAAGGGAGAAUUUUUAAUUAGGAUAUUAUGAAUGUCAGGGCAUGCUCGCGUAAAGAUAAAAAUAAUGUUACUUCAAACUUGAUCUGCAUUACUAUUUCAAGAAAUUACUGUAAUUGAAUAAGUCGUGCCACAAGAAAUUGGUUAUAGGGCAUGUAUAAAAGCUUAUCAAACAAUUACAUUUAUUAUCUUUUUUAACUAUGAAAGAAGUAAAAGAAGGAAUCGAGAACUCGUGAAUGAAGAGUAAUCGGAACUUUGACGUUUAGAGGAAUUUCGAAAUUUGGCGAGGAGGAGUGUAACGAAAGAGAAAAAUCGGAUGUUCGGUCGUCGAGUAGUCGACAACGUUGGAGAUGGAAAAGACGAAGUAAGAGGAAAAGUAGGAGAAAGAAAAGGAAGAGGAGGAUGAGGAGGAGGAGGAGGAGGUCGAGUGACGUCGACGUUAUUCGGCAUGAAGCGACGCACGUCGGGUAAGCGCGAGAAUGCAAGCCAGGUGGUUUGAAGGCUCUUCAGGUCAAACAAGUGGAACUGCUGGUGUAGAGGAUGGGACGGAAAAGAAGAAAAGGGUGGCUGGAAAGAGGGAAAUGCGGAGAAGGAGGACGAUAGAGUAGAUAGACGGAUAGAAGGCGAAGGCGUAAGAGGAGGAGGAGGAGGAGGAGAAAAGGAAGGGAGGAAGAAGAAGAAAAAGGAAGAGGAGGAGAUGGAAGAGGGAAGAGAAUGUAGACAGGAAGGAUGUUCGUCGAGUGCCAUCGACUUAACUUGUACCAUGGCAGAACGAGCACCAGUCCAUGUACUUCUCCAGAGGCUGGAGAGUAACAGAGAUGUGUGAGAGAGGAAGACCGAAACAUGCCGGCAUAAUAAGCUUUGUGCGCGACUGUUGAGAGAUUCCUCUCUCGCGGAGAGCUGAAGAGUCGCCGAGAGAACUAGAAGAGCUGUAGCUGUGGUAGCAAUAGCAGCAGAGCAACGGCAGCAAUGGGCGAACGGCAUGCAGCUUUCCUUUACCCUCUGUCUACCUCCCCCCUUUUCCUCCGCCCACCUCCGGAUGAGGAGGAACAAGAGAAGCAAGAAGAGUCAGAGAAGUCGACCAUCCGUCGAAUGCGAAAGAUGCGAAUCCGUUUCGUCUUUUCUACUCCAAUUUUACCUUCCCCCCCUCCCUCAUUUUCUACUUCCUUCUUUAUUUUUAAUUACGAAUUACUUAAAAAAAAAGGAAAAAAGAAAAUAAAGAAAAAGAGAGAGAGAGAGAGAGACCGCGGAGGUAAUUACCCUACCUUGGAUGGUUUAAUCGUUCCGACCUAGAAUUCUUUUUUCUUUUACGUAUAAAAGAAGGAAGGGUUGGUUAUGGUUGGAAAGCUCGUUGACUUAAAUACGUCAUAUUUGUUCGCGAAACUUCAUUUCUGUAUUAUUCGGAAUCGGGUUAGAAGGUGGAGGAAAGAUUUUCAGUUUCUUUUUUUUCUUUUUUCUUCCAACAGCAAAAAUUUAUUUCGAAUAUUCGAAUAACGAUAAGCUCGGGGACUAUGGGAAAAUCGACUUUGGUUGACUUUGGCCGUGAAUACGUGUCUAUAGAAUAUACCGAACAGGGCUGUAAGUGGGUUAAAGGCACUAGUUGUGUAGAGGGUAAAGUGCAUAGUUUGCUCGCGCUUGAAAACAACGGCGAGUGGGAUCGCCUAACGAAGUGUAUUUGCUGCGAGCCCACGGGAACGAAAUAUGGGGAGCGAGCGGGAACGAAAGAAAACGUAAUCCGGGAUAAGUCGUUAACAGUUGACUCAUUCUCCUCUUCGGGCUAAAGGAUAUUCAGACACUCCGAGCCCUCACUCGUUUGUUCGCAUAGCGGCCUUUCGUUCUUAACGAAACACAAAGGAUGCGCGCGCAAAUUUCCAAUGGUUUGCCAUACAUAAAUAUACGUAUAUAGAAAGUAUAUAUAUAUAUGUAUGUAUAUUUAUGCACCUACAUUCUAUAUAUUAACGUCUUACGUAAACACGCCCACACAUAGUUAUAUAGGAAUAUUUUACUCGAGAAAUAAUGGGAGCUCUCGAUUUGCUUAUAAAGUAAACAACAUGCAAGACUAGUUGUAACAUUGCUAUCUCGAUUUCAACUCCUAAUAAUUCCACUUUAUCGCUUUCCAUUGGUCCUAUUUCAACGCGGUUUAAAGAGAUCGUUAUCUCUCGCGAAUUAACGUGUUUAUUAAGAUUAUACUUAAAAAAAAAGAAAAGAGAGAAAAUAAAUCUAAGAAGGAAAUAUAGUAACAUUGAAAUGGAACGAUGAAUACGAUAAUGCAUACAAAGUACGUGUAUCUCUUCUAAAAAUAAAUGCAGUUAUCUGAUGUUUAUGUUGUAAUACGAAUAUUUUGUUAAAACAACGUAUACAUUUGCUAACAAAUUGAUUGGAAAAAUAAAACAAAGCUAAUAAUUAGAUAAAGCAUAUUGGAAAAAAGAUUUUGGCUCUAAAUGAAGAAUCUUAGCGAAUAAAGGCACGCAGCAAAGCGCAAGUAAAAUGAGAUGAAAGAUAAAAAUGACGAAGAAAAAGAUAAUGAAUCGAGAGAUGUUAAAACAAGCAAAUUUCCAUGCUAAUCCAGCAUGUAUUGAUUAAACAUUGUUGAAUAUCACCGACUAAAGUUUUACCAUAUCUACUUCGAUGGUCGGUAUCCGUGAUAUAAUUUUUUCCUUUUUCUCUCAUUCUCUUUUCACUUCUUUCAUUUCUUUCUAGCAUCAUCUCUCUUUGGCUCGAUUCGACAAAGAACAGCCGAACUCGUGGAAAUCCUGUCCCCAGUCGGUUCGGUUAGUCCGUGGUAGGAGCGAGUGAGAGAACGGAAGAGAAAGAGAAAAAGAGAGAGAGAGAGAGAGGGAUGGAUGGAAGCAUGGGUACACGAACGAGGUGGUUCGAAAAGGGGUAGAAAGGAAAGGGGAUGGAGUACUCGUUGAUUUCCCGUUUUCAUAUUCAAUAUGAUCUGUCUCGGCAUUGUAUUCAUUGAAAACGAGUCAACCGCAUGCAAGAUCAGGAACCGGGCGCCAGAAACGAGAGUAGAUCAUGGAAGCUCUCGUUCCCUUUCUCUCUCUCCCUUUCUCUCUCUCCCUCUCUCUCUCUCUGUCUCUCUCUCUUUUCCUCCUUUCGACGUUGGCGAUGAUGGUGAUAUUGGUAGUAGUACCGCCACUGACGAAGGCAGUGUUGGUAAUGGUGGGUAGGUCGUUGCGGUGGUUGGAUGGAUGGUUAGUUGGUAGUGGAUCAUGGCGAGAGUACGAACGAGAGAAGAGCUUGGGCGAAGUGGUAUAGGAACUGUGAGGAGGAGAGUGAGAAAGAUCUACAGAUGGAGGUGGAUGUGUUUCGAGGAAGAAUCUCCCCACAUCUCACUCGCAUAGAUAUCUUUUGAGUUUACCGCGAGAUUUCUGAAUGGGUAGAAUUGGCAAUAUGGGCUCCUUCUGUUUAGAAAGUCCUACUUCUAUUACGAAUUCUCGUGUCUUUAUAAUAAAGCUUGUGUUAUUAAAAUUGAUGAGGAUUGUUGAACUGUUAUAUAAAUGUGUAAGAGAAAUAUAAUGAUUAUUUUUAUAAAUUAUUAUAAUAGAUGAAACUUGAUUAUUAAACAAAUAUAUUUAAUAAUAAUAAUAUAGAUGAAUGAAUGAACGAUAACACAAAAUUAAAAAGAAUAUUAAACAAUUACGUAAUUCAUAUUCUCAGGAAUUGGUAAUGCGAAUAAAAGUAAUUUUAAUUAAUUGUGUAGUUUGUAUAUAUUCUGAUUUAUUUAACUAACGAAUUCGCUGCAGGAAAAAAUAUAAGCCUGGAUAAAGUGUAACGUAAAAUAUAUAUUAUUAUUUUUUGAAUAAAAGUGUUCAAAU
rnacentral:lncRNA from 1 species